UGGGGAAUAUUGCACAAUGGGCGCAAGCCUGAUGCAGCCAUGCCGCGUGUAUGAAGAAGGCCUUCGGGUUGUAAAGUACUUUCAGCGGGGAGGAAGGGAGUAAAGUUAAUACCUUUGCUCAUUGACGUUACCCGCAGAAGAAGCACCGGCUAACUCCGUGCCAGCAGCCGCGGUAAUACGGAGGGUGCAAGCGUUAAUCGGAAUUACUGGGCGUAAAGCGCACGCAGGCGGUUUGUUAAGUCAGAUGUGAAAUCCCCGGGCUCAACCUGGGAACUGCAUCUGAUACUGGCAAGCUCGAGUCUCGUAGAGGGGGGUAGAAUUCCAGGUGUAGCGGUGAAAUGCGUAGAGAUCUGGAGGAAUACCGGUGGCGAAGGCGGCCCCCUGGACGAAGACUGACGCUCAGGUGCGAAAGCGUGGGGAGCAAACAGG
rnacentral:rRNA from 1 species